rnacentral:ribozyme from 1 species
UGUCCAGCAACUCCCAUCCCUACCCCCUCGCGGUACCGGCCGGAAACUAUGAGCAAUCUUAGGAAAGAUCGGG